rnacentral:rRNA from 1 species
AGAACUUAGCAGAGAUGCUUUGGUGCCUUCGGGGAAACUCUGAGACAGGUGCUGCAUGGCUGUCGUCAGCUCGUGUUGUGAAAUGUUGGGUUAAGUCCCGCAACGAGCGCAACCCUUAUCCUUUGUUGCCAGCGGUCCGGCCGGGAACUCAAAGGAGACUGCCAGUGAUAAACUGGAGGAAGGUGGGGAUGACGUCAAGUCAUCAUGGCCCUUACGAGUAGGGCUACACACGUGCUACAAUGGCGCAUACAAAGAGAAGCGACCUCGCGAGAGCAAGCGGACCUCAUAAAGUGCGUCGUAGUCCGGAUUGGAGUCUGCAACUCGACUCCAUGAAGUCGGAAUCGCUAGUAAUCGUGGAUCAGAAUGCCACGGUGAAUACGUUCCCGGGCCUUGUACACACCGCCCGUCACACCAUGGGAGUGGGUUGCAAAAGAAGUAGGUAGCUUAACCUUCGGGAGGGCGCUUACCACUUUGUGAUUCAUGACUGGGGUGAAGUCGUAACAAGGUAAGCGUAGUGCU